GUCAAACACGAAUAAAUUAUUACCUUGAAUUUCCUGAUAGUGGUAGGGGGGAGUGGGAGUGGGAGUGGUACAGAUCAAGUCGAAAGUUAAACAGAAUGGAAUGAAUAAAGGAAGGAAGGAAGGAAGGAAGGAAGGAAGAGCCCUACGUUGAGUCUAACUGUUGGACUUUAAGAUUGCUACUUUUAUGCUUCUCUUGCUAACUCCUUUAAUGCGUUGUACCAAAGUUUUUAUCCCUCGUUGCCGCGAGUACCGCGGGUGACUGCGGGCGAGCCAAGAGAGCGUCGAGAGCGAGAUGUGGUCCACGAUUUCACGUAAUUAGCAAGGUAUAAGCCCGGCCUUAGCUGCCUGGAUGCGAACAAGCCCGCCGGAAAAUGGGAAAUAAGAUGAAACUAAAAGAGAAUUGGGACACGGAAACGAAAGGUACCCCUGACCGUUCAAGAUACCCGAAAACUAAACGACCUUCGCAUUGCCCUCCAUGUGGGCGGCAGCCCAAAGUUUCAUUCCCGUCAACCCGGAUCAUGGGGGAAAUUAGCUAUUCACCGAGAGAAUUUUCGCUGAUAAGUCUCGGUGUACGUACGUACGUAUGUAUAAUAUACCGAAUUUCAAGGAAAAUGGGAUUACGGAAAACUUGGAGACGAGAAAAAAAAAAGAAAGAAAAAAAAACAAAAAAACAGUCGAAUGGCUCGGCAAUUAGAAGAAUGAGUUUCUCACCGGGGCACCGAGUCGUCCGACUUCUACAACUCAUUACGGAUUUAUUUUCACUUUACUCUCGACCCCCACCACCACGACCACUAGGAAUAUCUGGUGCAUCCGGAGCAUUACAGCAACUACAUCGCCAUUAGCUACGCAGCCUGAUCCUUGACGUUCCGAGUGCAGUAAAAAUCCACCACAUCGGGAAAUCUGUAAGGCUUUUGGUACUUCUUUUAUACCUCGCGCGCUCCGGAUCUUGAUGAGAGAAUGAUUCAAGGUAGACGUCAGACACUGGAUACCAGACAUCGGACACCAGACACCAGACACCGACCAUCAGGCACCCCAUUAGCGUCAACCCGAGACCAUCCAGCUUCCAAUCGUGGACACGCUCGACUAUGGGCUCGACGGAGUAGCGGAUGACGAGAAGGAAUGGACACGGGUGGAUGGCUGCGUAUAAUACGGCGUACGUUUUGCUACAUAAAUAAAUACCGUCGUGUAACGUUGGAUGCACGACGUUAUACACCGGCGGCCUGCUGAAAUAUAGCGCGACGGUCAAAAGAGGGACGAUUGAGGGACUCAAUUAAUACGAACCGAGAGUCCGCCGGGUUGAAAGCGGAGGCGGCUGCGGAGAAAGCACACGAGGGGUCAGACCGUUCGAACGUUCAUAGAAAUUACGAAUUACGUAACUGUGUUACCGAUUCUUCGAGAAAAGGGUGAAACUAAUUUUAGAAGUACUUAAUCCACGCCCGGAGAGGGUUAAGGCGACUGCGGGAGAUCCGAUCCGAAGUCCGGAGGCUGAAAGCUAGAGAUGGAGAAGGUCAGGCGUUCCGAACUCUCGAAGAUUUCGAGGAUCCCUCAAUGGAGGAGAGGGAGGUAAGAAAAAAAAGGGGGAAAAACUCGCGAGAAAAAUUGAACCGGAAAAAAAUGAAAGAAAAUAAAUAAAAAUAGCUGUAAAAAAAAAAAAAAAAAAAAAACGAACUUAUAUAUACCAAUUCAAUUAAAGAGAACAAAUACUGGUGUUUACCACCGACGACGUGAGCAGCCAGUGAAAUUGGUCUGGGAAUUUGCUCGUCAAAUAUUACGUAAAAAUUUAAUUAAAUGAAAGUAAAAUACAAAAGCUUUUCACCAUCCCUUAGAAACUGUGAGAGAAGAACGGAUGUAAUAGAAGUCGGUAUCGUUACGAAAUAAGUCUCGUAUUUGUUGUGCGCCUUGUUUAUAAUACCGUCUCAUCAUUCUUCAAACAC